GAAGAAAAAUGCUCCUUGAAAGCCAAAUAGGAGAUCGACCGGACACCGAAAACCCCCAAAACCCCAACAAAAAGUCUUAAGCCCUUCCCACUUCUGCGUCCUCCGCUCAAUUACUCUCCAAAUCCCGCCAACCAUCAAUGUCCGACCCAAGCUCCACCGCUGACGACGGCAAUUCCAACGACGACUCCGUCGUCAAGACUGCCGGCUUAGUGGUGUUCUCCAGCAUCGCUAUGAGCAUUCUCAAGGCUCUAAACCCUUUUAACAAAAACAGAAAUGAAUAAACUCCUCCACUCGCCGAGUCAACUCAGCCCAUUCAGCUUCCGUCCCAGCCUCCUCUCCCUCCCCAGCAGCAACCCAUCACUGUCAAGGAACCACACCCUCCUCUUCGGAAAACCAUUACCAGGAUGGACCAAAAUGUGGAAGUCUCGCCGAAGUCAUGGCAUAAAAUGAUAGAGAUCGAGAAGGGAGACACUAUUUGGGGGCUCUCUAGAGAACACGGGGGAAUAUCUUCCUAUGGGGGGAAGUGUGAAGAUGGUGGAAGACACAUUGAAGCUAGCAUAUGGGGAGAAUUCGGAGCACAUUAAAGAUAAAAGGAUAGCAGCAAUGCAAGCUCUCUCUGGAACGGGUGCAUGCCGUGCAGACUUUCAAAAGCGUUUUCGCACUGAGUCUCAAAUCUAUAUACCAGUUCCUCCAUGGGCCAACCAUCAUAACAUCUGGAGAGAUGCUCAUGUCCCCCAGAAGACUUUCCAUUACUAUCUUCCAGAAAGUAAGGGGUUGGACUUUGCAGGACUGAUAAAUAACAUAAGGAAUGCUCCAAACAGCUUGUUCUUUCUACUUCAUGCGUGCGCUCACAAUCCCACUGGAGUGGAUCCUUCUGAGGAACAGUGGAAAGAGAUCCCAAAACAGAUCAAGGUAAA